rnacentral:tRNA from 1 species
GGGGAAGUAGCUCAGUUGGGAGAGCAUCGCCUUCGCAAGGCGGGGGCCGGGAGUUCAAGUCUCCUCUUCUCCACCA